GACGUAGGGCGCGAGCGUUGUCCGGAUUUAUUGGGCGUAAAGAGCUCGUAGGCGGCUUGUUGCGUCGACUGUGAAAACCCGCGGCUUAACUGCGGGCUUGCAGUUGAUACGGGCAGGCUAGAGUUCGGUAGGGGAGACUGGAAUUCCUGGUGUAGUGGUGAAAUGCGUAGAGAUCAGGAAGAACACCCGUGGCGCAAGCGGCCACCUGGCCAAGAGCUGACGCUGAGGCACGAGAGCGUGGGGAGCGAACCGG
rnacentral:rRNA from 1 species